GGGCCGUUAGCUCAGUUGGUAGAGCGCUACACUUGCAAUGUAGAGGCCAGGAGUUCGACUCUCCUACGGUCCA
rnacentral:tRNA from 1 species